UNGGAAUUACUGGGCGUAAAGGGAGCGCAGACGGUUACUUAAGCAGGAUGUGAAAUCCCCGGGCUCAACCUGGGAACUGCGUUNUGAACUGGGUAGCUAGAGUAUGUCAGAGGGGGGUAGAAUUCCACGUGUAGCAGUGAAAUGCGUAGAGAUGUGGAGGAAUACCGAUGGCGAAGGCAGCCCCCUGGGAUAAUACUGACGUUCAUGCUCGAAAGCGUGGGUAGCAAACAGGAUUAGAUACCCUGGUAGUCCACGCCCUAAACGAUGUCGAUUAGCUGUUGGGCAACUUGAUUGCUUAGUAGCGUAGCUAACGCGUGAAAUCGACCGCCUGGGGAGUACGGUCGCAAGAUUAAAACUCAAAGGAAUUGACGGGGACCCGCACAAGCGGUGGAUGAUGUGGAUUAAUUCGAUGCAACGCGAAGAACCUUACCUGGUCUUGACAUGUACGGAAGAACUCAGAGACGAGUUUGUGCCUUCGGGAGCCGUAACACAGGUGCUGCAUGGCUGUCGUCAGCUCGUGUCGUGAGAUGUUGGGUUAAGUCCCGCAACGAGCGCAACCCUUGUCAUUAGUUGCCAUCAUUUAGUUGGGCACUCUAAUGAGACUGCCGGUGACAAACCGGAGGAAGGUGGGGAUGACGUCAAGUCCUCAUGGCCCUUAUGACCAGGGCUUCACACGUCAUACAAUGGUCGGUACAGAGGGUAGCCAAGCCGCGAGGUGGAGCCAAUCCCAGAAAACCGAUCGUAGUCCGGAUUGCACUCUGCAACUCGAGUGCAUGAAGUCGGAAUCGCUAGUAAUCGCAGGUCAGCAUACUGCGGUGAAUACGUUCCCGGGUCUUGUACACACCGCCCGUCACACCAUGGGAGUGGGGGAUACCAGAAGUAGGUAGGGUAACCGCAAGG
rnacentral:rRNA from 1 species